UGUAAAGGCAAAUGGGCUAUAGACAUUGUCACCUGUUUGGUCACCAAGGUUAAAUGGGCUGUCUGGCUGACAAGACUGGUGUCUGCUUCUUCCUUGGUAAGCACUGGUACCUUCAAAGGAUGAAAAAUGCUCCAUGGCUAAAGAAGGUCAUCCCAGAAACAGGAGGACUCUUUUCAAUCCCAAAUUCUAUGAGUAACCCCACUCCUUUGCUAGAACAUCCAAUUCAGCCCUCAGGGUCACCUUGUUGGAGAAUGGAGAGUGGGUAAUCUAAGAUUCCAGAUAAUUCAAAUGAAGUGUUGUACAUGUCAGUUUGUCUCUCUU
rnacentral:snRNA from 1 species